GGCUGCGAAGGUGCAGCGGGCGGGAGGCCUGUUGGGGGCUCAGCCGGCAGCCAGAAGCUCUCGGGCUCUUUCCUUCCGUGCCCCUCACUUCCUCAUGGAUCCAUGCCCAGCCCUGAUUCGUUGGACAGAGCCUUGUGAGCGGGAUUUUCCGUUUGGGGAUUUCUAAAUCUGCUGCCCACCCCGCAACUGCCGGAAAGUUGCCCAUGGGGUGGACUUCGCCGUGUAGCGGGAGAGGGGUGGGAGUCGAGGGUGCUUGAUGGAAAGAUCGGGGAAGGGGUUGCACGGAUUGGAGGAGCGAGGAGACUCAGUCCCCAUCCCGAAGCACAGGGCAGGACGUCGCGGCGGAGUGGGGAAGCGAGGAGGCCGUGGCCGGGAGCUUGGACGCUGAGUUUGAGAAAGCUGCAGAGGAGGUUAGGCACCUUAAGACUAAGCCAGCAGAUGAUGAGAUGCUGUUCAUCUAUAGCCACUACAAACAAGCAACUGUGGGCGACAUAAAUACAGAACGGCCCGGGAUGUUGGACUUCACGGGCAAGGCCAAGUGGGAUGCCUGGAAUGAGCUGAAAGGGACUUCCAAGGAAGAUGCCAUGAAAGCUUACAUCAACAAAGUAGAAGAGCUAAAGAAAAAAUACGGGAUAUGAGAGACUGGAUUUGAUUACUGUGCCUUGUGUUUAUCCUAAACUGAGACAAUGCCUUGUUUUUUUCUAAUACUGUGGAUGGUGGGAAUUCGGGAAAAUAACCAGUUAACCCAGCUGCUCAAGGCUGCUCACCAUACGG
rnacentral:sRNA from 1 species